rnacentral:rRNA from 1 species
AACGAACGCUGGCGGCAUGCCUAACACAUGCAAGUCGAACGAGACCUUCGGGUCUAGUGGCGCACGGGUGCGUAACGCGUGGGAACCUGCCCUUAGGUUCGGAAUAACUCCCCGAAAGGGGUGCUAAUACCGGAUAAUGUCUUCGGACCAAAGAUUUAUCGCCUUUGGAUGGGCCCGCGUUGGAUUAGCUAGUUGGUAGGGUAAAAGCCUACCAAGGCGACGAUCCAUAGCUGGUCUGAGAGGAUGAUCAGCCACACUGGGACUGAGACACGGCCCAGACUCCUACGGGAGGCAGCAGUGGGGGAUAUUGGAAAGUGGGCGAAGGCAUGAUGCAGCAAUGCCGCGUGAGUGAUGAAGGCCUUAGGGUUGUAAAGCUCUUUUACCCGGGAUGAUAAUGACAGUACCGGGAGAAUAAGCUCCGGCUAACUCCGUG